AUUGAACGCUGGCGGAAUGCUUUACACAUGCAAGUCGAACGGCAGCACGGACUUCGGUCUGGUGGCGAGUGGCGAACGGGUGAGUAAUACAUCGGAACGUGCCCAGUCGUGGGGGAUAACGUAGCGAAAGCUACGCUAAUACCGCAUACGAUCUACGGAUGAAAGCGGGGGAUCGCAAGACCUCGCGCGAUUGGAGCGGCCGAUGGCCGAUUAGGUAGUUGGUGGGGUAAAGGCUCACCAAGCCGACGAUCUGUAGCUGGUCUGAGAGGACGACCAGCCACACUGGGACUGAGACACGGCCCAGACUCCUACGGGAGGCAGCAGUGGGGAAUUUUGGACAAUGGGCGCAAGCCUGAUCCAGCCAUUCCGCGUGCAGGAUGAAGGCCCUCGGGUUGUAAACUGCUUUUGUACGGAACGAAAAGGCGCUGGUUAAUACCCGGGGCUCAUGACGGUACCGUAAGAAUAAGCACCGGCUAACUACGUGCCAGCAGCCGCGGUAA
rnacentral:rRNA from 1 species